UACGUAGGGUGCAAGCGUUGUCCGGAAUUAUUGGGCGUAAAGAGCUUGUAGGCGGUUUGUCGCGUCUGCUGUGAAAUUUCGGGGCUCAACCCCGAACUUGCAGUGGGUACGGGCAGACUAGAGUACUGCAGGGGAGACUGGAAUUCCUGGUGUAGCGGUGAAAUGCGCAGAUAUCAGGAGGAACACCGGUGGCGAAGGCGGGUCUCUGGGCCGAAUACUGACGC
rnacentral:rRNA from 1 species